rnacentral:rRNA from 1 species
AGAGUUUGAUCAUGGCUCAGGACGAACGUUGGCGGCGCGCUUAAUGCAUGCAAGUCGAACGAAAUCCAUCCAAUUCGUAAGAAGAGGGUGGGGAUAGUGGCGAACGGGUGAGUAACACGUGAGAAACCUGCCCUGGAGACCGGGAUAGCCCGGGGAAACCCGGAUUAAUACCGGAUACCUUCUUUGGACCGCAUGGUCCGUUGAGGAAAGCUCAGGCGCUUCAGGAUGGUCUCGCGGCCUAUCAGCUUGUUGGUGAGGUAACGGCUCACCAAGGCUUCGACGGGUAGCUGGUCUGAGAGGACGAUCAGCCACACUGGGACUGAGACACGGCCCAGACUCCUACGGGAGGCAGCAGCAGGGAAUAUUGCACAAUGGGCGAAAGCCUGAUGCAGCGACGCCGCGUGCGGGAUGAAGGCCUUCGGGUUGUAAACCGCUUUCAGGAGGGACGAAAAUGACGGUACCUCCAGAAGAAGCCCCGGCCAACUACGUGCCAGCAGCCGCGGUAACACGUAGGGGGCGAACGUUGUCCGGAUUUAUUGGGCGUAAAGGGCUCGUAGGCGGCUUGGCAAGUCGGCCGUGAAAACCCGGGGCUCAACCCCGGGACGCCGGUCGAAACUGUCAUGGCUAGGGUCCGGUAGAGGUGAGUGGAAUUCUCGGUGUAGCGGUGAAAUGCGCAGAUAUCGAGAGGAACACCAGUAGCGAAGGC